CAUUUUCUUUCCCAGGGCAGUUGAGUUAGAAGAUUAGCCUCCCUUGCUUACUAAGAGAGGAAAUACUUCUUCCUCUACUCAGGGCAGCUGUAACCAGUUCUCCCAGAGAAAUCAUUAAACCUGAAGGAUCCUAGCACAGAGCCCAGAAGACGUGGCCGCCCUUCUUCCAGUCUCCCAGCUUACCCACUAAUUCAGCGCAGGCACCUUUCAGGGUCUUUACUACUGGCUGCUUCCUGUUCUGUCGCAAAACAAAAACUGUGUUAAGUAACCGAAACUUCUUGAAAUUCUCCUACAAAGCUCCUUUUAUGGAUAAAACUGAGCAUCUGUGUGAUGACAGAACACAGUGUCAUUUCAAAAGUCAAAAAAAAGCUGUCUGA
rnacentral:lncRNA from 1 species